UUCCCAGUCCAAUAUUUACCCAAACUUCCACCGAUUCUACCAAGAACUACAAAAAUUUCUAUUGCUCCUUUAUUAGAAUCACUCGACUCCUUCAUGGAUGUUGUAGACCCACCCAUACCAGCUAGUGUCGAAAGAUCAGCCACAUCAGUAGAAUUGCUUCCUUCCUUCUAAUUGAAGAUGCAAAUCCGUCGACCAGAAGAACAACACGAACUCGUCGACAAGAAAUUGGUAGACACAAAAUCUCACGCGAAGAUGUCGACCAAAAAUUAAUUGACCCAAAAUCUCAAAUCAAAGUAGUUGACCAGAAAUUG
rnacentral:lncRNA from 1 species